UACAGAGGUGGCAAGCGUUGUUCGGAAUUACUGGGCGUAAAGGGCGCGUAGGCGGCCUCGCAAGUCCCGUGUGAAAUCCCUCGGCUCAACUGAGGAAUGGCACGGGAAACUGCGGGGCUUGAGUUCGGGAGAGGGAAGCGGAAUUCCGGGUGUAGCGGUGAAAUGCGUAGAGAUCGGAAAGAACACCAACGGCGAAAGCACUCUGCUGGGCCGACACUGACACUGAGAGACGAAAGCUAGGGGAGCGAAUGGG
rnacentral:rRNA from 1 species